rnacentral:rRNA from 1 species
AUUGAACGCUGGCGGCAUGCCUUACACAUGCAAGUCGAACGGCAGCACGGGAGCAAUCCUGGUGGCGAGUGGCGAACGGGUGAGUAAAGUAUCGGAACGUGCCCAGUCGUGGGGGAUAACGUAGCGAAAGCUACGCUAAUACCGCAUACGAUCUAUGGAUGAAAGCGGGGGACCGUAAGGCCUCGCGCGAUUGGAGCGGCCUAUAUCAGAUUAGGUAGUUGGUGAGGUAAAGGCUCACCAAGCCGACGAUCUGUAGCUGGUCUGAGAGGACGACCAGCCACACUGGGACUGAGACACGGCCCAGACUCCUACGGGAGGCAGCAGUGGGGAAUUUUGGACAAUGGGCGCAAGCCUGAUCCAGCAAUGCCGCGUGCAGGAUGAAGGCCUUCGGGUUGUAAACUACUUUUGUACGGAGCGAAAAGGCUCUCUCUAAUACAGGGGGCUCAUGACGGUACCGUAAGAAUAAGCACCGGCUAACUACGUGCCAGCCGCCGCCGUAAUAC